rnacentral:misc_RNA from 1 species
UUUUCCAAUUAUUCAAGUACAUAAUCCAAUGAAAUUACUAUGCAAGUUAGCAUUAAUUUUCACAUCAAAGAGCGUGCAAAUUAUCAUCAAUUGCAGGAGAGCUGAAUAGAUAUAUUUUUAUAAACUCAAUGAAUAAUUUAUCCAAUAUAAUUUAAAUAAAAAUGAAUAAGUAAAAAAAUUAAAUGACCUAACAUUAAUAAACGGUUAAGAAAAAUGAAUGAAGAGGGUGCUACAGUUACAGAUAAGUUAUGCGAAGUUGUCUAUCACAUUACAGUUACAGAUGUGUUUGUAUUAUGCGAAAAAAGUCUAGCGACUUUUUCCGUAACUGCCUAAUAUGUUCAUAUUAACUUGAAAUGUUAAAAGACAUUAAAUUUUUAAGUUUAUACAAAUUAAGCCAACUGACUGAUUAAUCAGUAAAUUGGCCAUCUCAAUUGAGUUUAAUGUGAUCAACUAGUGAACCAUGUCCUAGAAAAAUUUUAAUGCUAUUAAAGGGUUUCAAAUAUAUGUUUGUUUAAACCUAGAGUAUAAAUUUAUUGUUGAUGUUUUUAGAUAAUAAAUUUUGAGGAACGACUGUUCAAUAAAAAUUAAAAAUUAUUAAUUAAGGUUUAAAAACAAAUUAAACGUUUGAUUAAAUAUUAAAUGACUAUAUAAGCUAUAAUAGUUCAAU